ACACAACGUUAAAAUGUAACACACACAGAAAUGAACUAUAAUAUAACAAUUGCCAUAUUCCUGACUUAUUACAGGACAUUUUUAAAGGAAAAAAUGGUGGGUUGAACCUGGUUUUGUGGCAUGCCAAACCUCCCUCUUUUAUGGCCAUGUGAAAUAUAACAUUAAAAUGACAACACAACAUUGCAGGACUACAAUAUAAAUAAAUAGGAGAACACAAAUGACAAAGAAA
rnacentral:lncRNA from 1 species